rnacentral:miRNA from 1 species
GGAAGAAAGGCGGGGUCAGUGUCACUUCCUGGUAUCCGUGGAUGCGGUCGACCAUGGUGUGCACGCUUUAUUUGCGACGUAGGACACAUGGUCUACUUCUUCUCGAUAUCACAUCUCACC